rnacentral:rRNA from 1 species
CACGUAGGGUCCAAGCGUUGUCCGGAUUUAUUGGGCGUAAAGAGCUCGUAGGCGGCUUGGUAAGUCGAGUGUGAAAACUCUGGGCUCAACUCAGAGACGCCACUCGAUACUGCCAUGGCUUGAGUCCGGUAGGGGAGUGUGGAAUUCCCGGUGUAGCGGUGAAAUGCGCAGAUAUCAGGAAGAACACCCGUGGCCAAGGCGGCUCUCUGGGACGGUACUGACGCCGAGGAGCGAAAGCGUGGGGAGCGAACAGG